rnacentral:rRNA from 1 species
CUAGUGGCGCACGGGUGCGUAACGCGUGGGAAUCUGCCCUUUGCUACGGAAUAACUCAGAGAAAUUUGUGCUAAUACCGUAUGAUGUCGUAAGACCAAAGAUUUAUCGGCAAAGGAUGAGCCCGCGUAGGAUUAGCUUGUUGGUGAGGUAAAAGCUCACCAAGGCGACGAUCCUUAGCUGGUCUGAGAGGAUGAUCAGCCACACUGGGACUGAGACACGGCCCAGACUCCUACGGGAGGCAGCAGUGGGGAAUAUUGGACAAUGGGCGAAAGCCUGAUCCAGCAAUGCCGCGUGAGUGAUGAAGGCCUUAGGGUUGUAAAGCUCUUUUACCAGGGAUGAUAAUGACAGUACCUGGAGAAUAAGCUCCGGCUAACUCCGUGCCAGCAGCCGCGGUAAUACGGAGGGAGCUAGCGUUGUUCGGAAUUACUGGGCGUAAAGAGUACGUAGGCGGUUAUUCAAGUCAGAGGUGAAAGCCUGGAGCUCAACUCCAGAACUGCCUUUGAAACUAGAUAACUUGAAUCACGGAGAGGUUAGUGGAAUUCCGAGUGUAGAGGUGAAAUUCGUAGAUAUUCGGAAGAACACCAGUGGCGAAGGCGACUAACUGGACGUGUAUUGACGCUGAGGUACGAAAGCGUGGGGAGCAAACAGGAUUAGAUACCCU